AACUUAUUGCAAAAAUCUCUCGAUUUUUGUCUUAACUUCAUAUUUACAUGUACCUUGUUCUAUCGAACGUUGUGUAUUUUUCAAACGCAUAAGCAGUCAACGAUGUUUCCCGGGUGGUCCUGGGUGGUGAUGGGAUUCAUGGAGAUACAAAAAUGGAUGAAGGAAGAGAAAGAAGACAAGCCUAAAAGGCGGUAUAUCAUUAACCCAGAGGAUUUGGGUACAGACGUGGACACCGGUCUUCGUGAGGAGGAAUUCGAUGCUUAUGUAUCUGAGGAGAUUGACAAUGUUAUUGCACAGAUUCAAGCUUCU